AUUGAACGCUGGCGGCAGGCCUAACACAUGCAAGUCGAACGAGCGGCGGACGGGUGAGUAAUGUCUGGGGAUCUGCCUGAUGGCGGGGGAUAACUACUGGAAACGGUAGCUAAUACCGCAUACCAUCAGAUGCACCCAUAUGGGAUUAGCUAGUAGGUGAGGUAACGGCUUACCUAGGCGACGAUCCCUAGCUGGUCUGAGAGGAUGAUCAGCCACACUGGGACUGAGACACGGCCCAGACUCCUACGGGAGGCAGCAGUGGGGAAUAUUGCACAAUGGGCGAAAGCCUGAUGCAGCCAUGCCGCGUGUAUGAAGAAGGUCUUCGGGUUGUAAAGUACUUUCAGUCGGGAGGCGUUACCGACAGAAGAAGCACCGGCUAACUCCGUGCCAGCAGCCGCGGUAAUAC
rnacentral:rRNA from 1 species